rnacentral:lncRNA from 13 species
UUAAAUCACAUGAGGCAAUUGGUGGGAAUGCAAUGUUCUGUUCUGAUACUUUACUUUGUCAAAUAGCUUGAAUUUCCACAAGCAAUGGGCCUAAGUGGGGAGCUGUUUUCCAGGCAGACUAAACUGGAACACUUUGACUGUGGUGUAAGUGUAAAAGCCAUCAUCAACAAGAACAUGUCUUCACAGGCCCAGGCAGUCCUGAAGAGUUAUGGUGAAAACAGUGUCAAUGGCUCUCUUCACCUUCAUUCCAAUGGACAGGACGUGCUGAUGCUGGAGGUUGAUGUGAACAAUGAAAACAGGAGGAAUGCCAGAAUUGUUGAGCUGAGGGCUUUUCUCCAUCAGACAGUCCUGACAAACCCAGAAUCAGUACAGUUCCGGCUCAUGGGCAAAAUAUUUCCAUCAAGGUAGAGAAAUCAGAAUGUUGGUUAAUUGAGGAACUGAGGAGUGUUCUGUGAUACAAAUUUAAAUGUAACUGCUUUCAUAUGGCUGCAGCAAGGCCACUGAGUAAAUGCCAGUUCAUGUGUUAUCCCUGUCAUUGAAAUACUUCUGCUCCUUAUGCUUUCUAAGUUGGUGUAAGUUGUGUUUGUGUGUUCUAGUUGCUUUCCUAGGACUUUGUACAGAGAACUUUGAAUGAACAGAUGGUGAAAGCUAUGCCAGUGGAAAAGGGCACUUCCCAGUGUUUAUUAUAAGGUUUUUAAGAUAUUGUAGAAAGCUUUGAGGCGGCAGAGGUGGGAAAUAGAAAUUUGGCCCUCCCAAGUUUCAGCUGAUUUUUCAAAUUUUAUAAAUAGGAAGUGUAUAGGGAAGAAUUUUGUGUCUGCAGAGGUCCCAGUGUUUACCAAUUGGAUGAGAUAAGGAAAAUGAGGAAAUAAGAGUUAAAGAAAUCAGAAGUUACUACAAUUUAGAUGAAGCACAUUAGAUUUACUAGUAACAGUAAAAAUAAGAGAAAAUAUUCCAAGAAGGAUAUUUCAUGUGGUUCUGCAGCUUGCUUACGGUUCUGGGCAUCCAGUACUGCACUAAUUUGUUUAAAUACCAGGGUAAGCUGUUCGAGAGUAAUUUAUUACAGUUCACUUCACAGGCAGGAAAACAGAACACUUAAAAUUUUUGGAACGAGUAUUUGUUUAGGAUUUGUUUUACAGGGAGAAUACAGAGAAAAAUAAACUGUUGAAUGUUUCUGGGGAACAGCUAAAAGGAUGCAGUCUGUACAGACUUCAGUUGCUGACUGAUGGAAUGAAUCUUAAUUCCCUAAGCUUUUAGUUUUGUUCUUCCUAUGGAGUGGAUUUUCACUCAGGUUUUACUCAUCAUCAGUGUUUCAGAGGGUUCCAGUGUCUAGGAGGGAAAUCUAACGCUAUGAAAACUGGAGUAAUUGCCUCACUUUUAGGUAUUUUGUGUAGUAUACUCGAGUCUAGAAAGUCAGAUAGUUCAGUGGAUAGUUUGUUGAAGGCAAUGUGAAAGCCGUCUCAGUCUUAAAACACUGAAAAUGGAGCUUUUUGUUGUUCCAGCAGGUUUCCCCAGAAAGCUGUGAUGUGUUUCUCUAACACUGUUCAAUUCAGGACCAAGAUACAAAGAAAUAUUGUUGGUUCAUUUACCAAACUCAAAUGAUGGUGGCACUUAGAAUUAUUUUUUUAAGCUGAAUUCUUAAUGUUGGUUUUAAAUCAGCACCAAAGUGAUAUUUCAUAUUGUGACAGAGAGGGACUAGUUUCCAACUCAAACUCUGUCCAACUCUUUCUUUUAUUAGGAACCAUAACAAAAGCAUUCAAGAAAUUUAAAGAAAAAGUAGUCCGCCAGUCUUUGAAGCUUUACUGAGGAGUUUUAGAAACAUCUUGUGAACAACAUGUGCUGACUGCAAGGCAUCACAACACUGGAACAAGUGCCCAGAAUGUCUGUGGAGUCUCCAUAUUCGGAGAUACUCCAAACUUGACCACACACAUUCCUGAGCACCCUACUCUCAUUGAUCCUGCUUUGAGUAAUGAGGGGUGUCUUGACAAUCCUGAAUCAACCAUAAUAAUAUCUUACUAGCAAUUUUUAUGUCUGUCUUUUUAGACUUCUGUUGUCUUCUGAGUUGAAUCUUAACGAAAAUAGGCUUCACAUGGAUUUCAUGGGAGCCAGGGAGCGAAAAGUUGGUUUUGUUUUGUCCCUAAAUGGAAGAGUCCAACACACUUUUACUGGAUUACAGGCCAUACCUCAUCUUCUUUCUCUGGAUGGAUUACUGAAGUGCAAAAACAACAAACAUGAUGGUACUCUGUUCCUUUGUGUUUUUUUCUAAUCUGCAGCUACCUAAGGAAGCUUCUUAAUUUUAGUGUAAUCCUUCCUGAGCUGCACAAUGUAUUCAGCUCUGGUGCCCCAACAGAAGAAUAACGUGUGCCUGUCAGGGCAAGUCCAGAGCAGACCACAGAGAUGAUCAGAUGGCUGGAGCACCUCUGCUCUGGAGCUGGGCUGGGAGGGCUGGGGUUGUCAGCCUGGAGAAGAGAAGGUUCCCGGGAGACCUUAGAGCCCCUUCCAGUGCCUAAUGAGGCUCCAAGAGAGCUGGAGAGGGACCUUGGACAAGGGCCUGGAGUGAAAGGACAACAGGGAAUGGCUUCAGACUGACAGAGGGCAGGGUGAGAUUGGAUACUAGGAAGAAAUUCUUCAUUAUGAGGGUGAUCGGAAAAUGGAACAGGUUGCCCUGAGAAGCUGUGGCUGCUCCAUCCCUGGAAUUGUUCAAGGCCAGGUUGAAUGGGGCUUUGAACAACCUGAUCUGGUGGAAGGUGUCCCUGUCCAUAGCAGAGGGGUUGGAACAAGAUGGGUUUUAAGGCCUCUUCCAGCCCAAACUAUUCUGUGAUUCUGUAUAAUGCAGAGGAGAGUAUUUAGCAUGCAAAAUGAACCUUGGGUCAUAGGGUUGAGGGUACUUUUCAGUGAACAAACACAGUUUAUAAUUUUUCAUAUUUUCAUGGAUUGAAGGAAAUAGUGGGUGGCCUCUUUCCUCUUCUGAAAUGUGGGAGCUGACUUGAAACCCUUACUCCUUUGAAUGGCUCCAUGGGUGGAGCAGGUCACUGCUGAGCUCUGGAGGGAUUGUUUCGCCUGCAAUUACACUAGUAAUAGGUCACAGUCCCUCUGUAAAUUUUCCUUCAUAGGGAGUGCAGUAUAGUCCAUGGUCUAAGGGCACAAGCAGCUUCGUGAAUAAAAAGGAACAGCUGCUAGAAAUACUAUUAUGUAAUUUGUUUUAAACACAGACACUCACUAGUAGAGAAACCCUCAAUGUGAAACUGAUUUGCUCUCUUGAUUAGGCAAAAUUAUCUAUUAUAACAAAUGGAAAUUUUUCUGCUUCCUCCCAAUAUUAAAUUGAUGGUUAAUUUAUAUAUUACUUCUAAAACUCUGGUUAUUUUUGUCCCAAGAAUCUCUCUCCACAGUAAUAAUUUCUGCCUGUUUCAGGUAACAUCAAUCUGAUGGUCAACAAAAGACUAUAUGGACUCCAUGUCAGGAACAGGAACGUGUUUGGGAAUACCACCGUACACAAUAUCACUGUUGCCAUGUUUCAGAAUGGCAGUCAGGCAAUCCCAGUGGAGGCAAGACUGAAAGGACACCUGGAACUGAGUAAAGAGAAGAAAAGGGGGCUAGCUAGCUUCCAGGUGGAUGAGAAGGCUCUUUCUGUAGAUUUUUUCAAUGUCUUGGAUCGUGGGCACAGCAGAGUCAGUGGGACUUUCACACAUAAUAUCAACUUUUUAAAAAAUGCAGGUAGGAAGAAAACUCUGACUUGAAGGUGUGGUGUAACAAGGUGAAUUUAUCUAAAUGACUGCUGACCAGUGGAAAUAGAUGAGUUGUGUUUGCUCACGCUAGAACAAAAUGUGAUCCAGUCUUAGCAGCAUUCUUUU